rnacentral:rRNA from 1 species
UUUUAAUUUUGAAAAGGUAAAGCAUGUUGAUGUCCGCUUUUUGGGCCUCCCAAAUAACUUUUUAAACUUGAUCUGAAAUCAGGUGGGAUUACCCGCUGAACUUAAGCAUAUCAAUAAGCGGAGGAAAAGAAAAUAACAAUGAUUUCCCCAGUAACGGCGAGUGAAGAGGAAAGAGCUCAAAGUUGGAACCUGUUUGGCUUAGCUAAACCGGAUUGUAAACUGUAGAAACGUUUUCCUGGCACGCCAGAUAAAUA